rnacentral:rRNA from 1 species
CUACGGGUUGCUGCAGUGGGGAAUAUUGCACAAUGGAGGAAACUCUGAUGCAGCAACGCCGCGUGGAGGAUGACACUUUUCGGAGCGUAAACUCCUUUUAUAUAGGAAGAAGAUGACGGUACUAUAUGAAUAAGCGCCGGCUAACUCCGUGCCAGCAGCCGCGGUAAUACGGAGGGCGCAAGCGUUACUCGGAAUCACUGGGCGUAAAGAGCGUGUAGGCGGAUUAAAAAGUCAGAAGUGAAAUCCUAUAGCUUAACUAUAGAACUGCUUCUGAAACUCUUAAUCUAGAAUAGGGGAGAGGUGGAUGGAUUUGCUGGUGUAGGGGUAAAAUCCGUAGAGAUCAGAAGGAAUCCCGAUUGCGAAGGAGAUCUACUAGAACAUUAUUGACGCUGAGACGCGAAAGCGUGGGGAGCAAACAGGAUUAAAUACCCGCGUAGUC